UAAAAGGGUCGGUUGGCUAAAUAUGCCACUCUCACCCUCGUCUGGUGAGUGCUGUAUGGCUAUCAAGACAUAUGGCCGACAUAAUUUAUGGAAACCUUAUAGGGUUGGCUCCUCUGGCCGACCCUUCAU
rnacentral:snRNA from 11 species